UCCAGCAUUUACAAGUGAUUGUAGGCUACUCAUGCCCUGAUCAUUGACAGUAUAGGGAGUAAAACUGCCAAAGGCCUUUCCCCGAAUUGGGAGGGUCCACUUUUGUCCUGCCCAAACUCUAGAGCUUUCCUACA